CACGUAGGGCGCAAGCGUUGUCCGGAAUUAUUGGGCGUAAAGAGCGUGUAGGCGGCCAGACAGGUCCGUUGUGAAAACUCGAGGCUCAACCUCGAGACGCCGAUGGAAACCGUCUGGCUGGAGUCCGGAAGAGGAGAGUGGAAUUCCUGGUGUAGCGGUGAAAUGCGCAGAUAUCAGGAAGAACACCCGUGGCUAAGGCGGCUCUCUAGUACGGUACUGACGCUGAGACGCGAAAGCGUGGGGAGCGAACAGG
rnacentral:rRNA from 1 species